UAUACGACCGUACCGCAAACCGACACUGGUGCGCGAGAUGAGUAUUCUAAGGCGCUUGAGAGAACUCAGGAGAAGGAACUCGGCAAAUUGACACCGUAACUUCGGAAGAAGGUGUGCCCUAUUAGUGUGUAGUGAACAACGAGGCAUGAAUGGGUUGCAAAAAAUCGGUGGCUGCGACUGUUUAUUAAAAACACAGCACUCUGCAAACACGAAAGUGGACGUAUAGGGUGUGACGCCUGCCCGGUGCUGGAAGAUUAAAUGAUGGGGUGCAAGCUCUUGAUUGAAGUCCCAGUAAACGGCGGCCGUAACAAUAACGGUCCUAAGGUAGCGAAAUUCCUUGUCGGGUAAGUUCCGACCUGCACGAAUGGCGUAACGAUGGCCACACUGUCUCCUCCUGAGACUCAGCGAAGUUGAAAUGUUUGUGAUGAUGCAAUCUCCCCGCGGAAAGACGGAAAGACCCCAUGAACCUUUACUGUAGCUUUGUAUUGGACUUUGAACAGAUCUGUGUAGGAUAGGUGGGAGGCUUUGAAGCAGGGUCGCUAGAUCUUGUGGAGCCAACGUUGAAAUACCUCCCUGGUGUGUUUGAGGUUCUAACCUAGGUCCAUUAUCUGGAUCGGGGACAGUGCAUGGUAGGCAGUUUGACUGGGGCGGUCUCCUCCCAAAGCGUAACGGAGGAGUUCGAAGGUACGCUAGUUACGGUCGGACAUCGUGACGAUAGUGCAAUGGCAUAAGCGUGCUUAACUGCGAGACUGACAAGUCGAGCAGAUGCGAAAGCAGGACAUAGUGAUCCGGUGGUUCUGUAUGGAAGGGCCAUCGCUCAACGGAUAAAAGGUACUCUGGGGAUAACAGGCUGAUACCGCCCAAGAGUUCAUACCGACGGCGGUGUUUGGCACCUCGAUGUCGGCUCAUCUCAUCCUGGGGCUGUAGCCGGUCCCAAGGGUAUGGCUGUUCGCCAUUUAAAGAGGUACGUGAGCUGGGUUUAAAAAGUCGUGAGACAGUUUGGUCCCUAUCUUCCGUGGGCGCUGCAGAUUUGAGGAAGCCUGCUCCUAGUACGAGAGGACCGGAGUGGACACACCUCUGGUGUAUCGGUUGUCACGCCAGUGGCAUUGCCGAGUAGCUAAGUGUGGAAGAGAUAACCGCUGAAAGCAUCUAAGCGGGAAACUCGUUUCAAGAUGAGAUCUGCCGGGGCCUUGAGCCCCCUAAAGAGCCGUUCAAGACCAGGACGUUGAUAGGUCAGGUGUGGAAGC
rnacentral:rRNA from 1 species